rnacentral:lncRNA from 1 species
CUUUGCACGGAAGCGACUAAGUGGUUGUGACAUUUACUACAGCGAUCAUAUGAAGGAGCGCAAAUUUUGGUGUCGAAUCCGUGUUGGGAGAGAGACUUGAUUUGCACCGACGCCCCAACGGAAGAGAUGGACGAUGUGACAAAAGAUGCCUGUUAUAAAAAAAAAAAAAAAACGAACUCAAGGCACGGUUGUUGAUCCCAAUGGUGAUAUUGACAUCGGCACUGACAUUGACAUCAUAAUAUUUUCUUCAGCAAUAAAUUAAAGAAGUCACACGAUAAGCAUCACGUUGUUUGAAAGCUCAUUUGAUAACGAACCACUUCGAGAAGUCUUUAUUGGUCCUGUCGUAGCUUUUGGUGCUAUUUAUCUGCAGUUUACUCAGCCGCAUAAGUAAAUUUUUCGGCGAUACCAAAUUCAGACAAAGCCUCGCAGAGCCCGCUUUUUCAUGCUAUCGAAGGCUGCUUUAAAUUCGACGAAGAGGUGAUGUGUUUCAAUGAUCCGUUCACGUGCUUUUUUCCAAGAUUCUUCGCAUGGUGAAUAUGUGGUUAAUUUCUUUCACAAAUAUAAUAAAUGAGGCUCUCUCAUAUGUGAUAUUGAGCAGGCUAAGCUCACAGUAAUUGGCGCAGACUGCUUGUGUUGAUAUGAGAAUUAUUAUUUAAUCCUAAAGUGAAAUGCCAUAAAUUUGAUAAGGGUUUCGGCUUGACGGAUGAUAGCUCUUCUUUCUCGUUGAAUUUCACUUUAAAUUGGCUUGUACCGUCAGACGAAUAUUUGGAGACCCAUGUGCUAACAACUUUAUCGGACUUCAUCAUGUGACUGUUAUUGGUUUAUUUUUUUGGUAUUUUCUUCUCCGGAUUAAUCUCAAUUUUUGCCUUUCUAGCAUAAAGUCGGUAUUGCACGCCAAUGGACGCUACAUUCAGUUUUCUUUCAAGGCGUAAACUGCGAAUCGAUGAAUUUAACCUACUGCCCCUUCAAGUGGCUACAUACAUAUUUACUAAUACAACAAAAAUAUUCUCCAUUUUUGACAUUGGCUAACCGAUAAACCAGCUGAAAAUUAUAUCAAUUCAACUGUGAUGGACCGAGAGGCAAGCGCCAGCACUCAGCUCCCUCCACCCACAAAAGUGUGACCAACAACAAGCAGUUACACUGGUGAUUCAUGCCGGCAGCAGAGCUAAUGAAAGAAAUAUGUAUGUAUUUGUAUACAAUAUAAUUAUCGAAAUCAACAAAUUAGAAGCUACGGACCCUUGUGCUGAGCGAUAAUUGAGAAUGAGAGUGCGAGAGUCAGCGCAGCUGAUACCGAUGAGAGAUAAAAAUUAUAAAUAUAUACGCGUAUAAAAAAUUAUUUAGACACCAGCCUAUUGCGAUUAAGUGUUCGAAGAGAAAGAGGAGAAUCAUCUUCGAAAUCGAAAGAAACAUAAAAGAAUAUUUGCAACCAUAACAGAUUAAAAAAUUAAUAUGUAAUUGUCUAUAUUUCCAGUUAAAUACAAACA